UGGGAUGUAGCUCAGUGGUAGAGUGCCUGCCUAGCAUGUUUGAGACCCUGAGUUCAAUCCUCAGUACCAUAA
rnacentral:tRNA from 1 species